rnacentral:SRP_RNA from 1 species
GUUGAGCAUGGUGGCCCAUGCCUGUAGUCCUGGCUACUUGGGAGGCUGAGGUGGGAGGAUUGCUUGAGCCCAGGAGUUCAAGGCUGCAGUGAGCUAUGAUAGUGCCACUGCACUCUAGCCUGGGUGACAGAGCAAGACCAUGCCUUUA